UCCUCCCAAAGAGUAACGGAGGAGCACGAAGGUUGGCUAAUCCUGGUCGGACAUCAGGAGGUUAGUGCAAUGGCAUAAGCCAGCUUGACUGCGAGC
rnacentral:rRNA from 1 species